UUCAUCCCAGAAACAAGAAAUUAGAACAGUUGAUUAAACUGUGUGAGAUCUCACUAUGGUACUCUCACGAUAUUUCCAAAACGUCUAUGCUUCCUUUAUUUACGGAUUCCUUAUUCUUACAAGUUUGAUCUCAGUAUAUCCAAUGACCAAUACUGGUGAUUUUUUGGAAACUUGCAAUUCGACUCAACCAAAUCAUAUAAAUAACUCAAGGAAUUCAUCUGGUUUACGUAAUCAAAGUGCUAGUUUUUCACUUGGCCAAGAAACAUUAAUAACAACGAUGGUGGUCUCCACAAUUAGUGUCCUAACAAAUGGUCUUCUUAUUGUUGUUAUUGUGAAGGAUCCUUUAAGCAAACUAAGACGAGGACCUUGGAUUACAAUCUUAAGCUUAUCUAUUGCUGAUUUCACUGCAUCUUUGUCCCAAUUCAUGAUUGUUGGAUUGGGUAGAUUGUUCGAGGUCAAACCAUCAGAAGCUGUCAUUUAUUCUGUCCUUUUCUUUUGGAUGUUUGGGGCUGCGGGCUCAUUUUUUCACUUGACAUCACUCACAUGGCAAACUUACAUGAUUGCAAAGUAUCCCAAAUACAAAAAACAAAUGUUAUCUACGAAGAAAAUUUACAUAUUAUGCGCCACAGUUUGGUUGAUUGCCAUUUGCAUGGCAUUUGCUGAAGUCACAUCACUUUACAUAAAAAAAUUUGACCAGCUUAUGUAUAUCUAUAUCACGGUAUAUGCUGUCUUGGAAAUUGCUGUCUUGAUCCAGAUCAUAUUGAAGUGUUUCAUACUUAAGGUUGUACUGCAAAGUCGACAAGACACUAAAGUAAAUGCUAAACAGUACAACACUAAACACUUUGAAAUUGUAAAGGCAAUCAUUGUGCUGAAUGUCUUAUUACUGGUAACUGCAUUUCCUUAUUUUGUCGCCAAACAAGUGGAGUUUUUUCAAAGGGUUGGAAAAAUACAAGGUGAAUUGGCUAAGAGUUUUUCUUACUACUACAAACCAGUUGCCAUGGUGAAUUUCGCUGUCAAUCCAAUUGUGUAUGCACUGACGCUUCCCGUUUAUCGAAACAGUAUGAAGGCGUUGUUUAAAAAGACUAGAAUUGUUUCCAUCAAAAAACCAGGGCAUUUAAUCUUUUCAUUUCGUACUAGUUCUAGUAAACCUGUAUGAUAGAUAAUAUGUUCUAAACUCAAUUUGAUUAAAAAUGUACGAAUAGUGCUAAUAUUUUUAUUGGAAGAAUAAAUUCCAAAGUGACAAACAACUGUGUGGUCAAAAAAAUUAUAACGAUUAUUACUACAAUACUCAUCACUUUUUUGAUUCUACGUAACUUCAAAAGCGAGAGCAAUAAUUGUGAAUACUUUAAUGAGACCAUAAAUUAAGUAAAGCACGUACAUCAGGUACCUGGAAAUAUAGCAGCUUUGCUGAGAUGAAAACCUCGGAAAAAGAAGAAAGAUUUGUUAUUUUCAUCUUGGUAUAUUUGAAAUGCCAGCGAAAAGUACGUAUAGGAAUUUGGGGGAGGGAGUAAGGCCAAUAUAAGCCUCUUGAGAGCUGAAAUUAAAUGUUUCUCUGCACUAUAAUAACAAUGCUACACAAACUAUCCCCCUUCUUCUGGACAAUAUUGCAACAAAAAAGGUGGGGCCAAUUAUCCAAUUAUCAAAAAAAAGUUGGGGUCAAUAUUAUAUUAAUAUUGCAACAAAAAAGGUGGGGCCAAUUAUCGUUUCCACCCGUCUACAGGAAAUGAAUUCUUAAAAUCACUCACGUUUAUGGGAUGUACAUGUGAAUCCACGACAUGCAUGUGGACGUCACGAGGCCAAUUUAAAAAAAAGCGGAUUCAAAAAUAUCGAGAUACGUGUUGACGGGUCAUAAACAUUAUACCGACUGUAUGAACCAUUCAGUCAAUGCCAGUCAUCCCAGAGACAAGAAAUUAGAAGUUAGAACAGUUGAUUAAACUGUGUGAGAUCUCACUAUGGUACUCUCACGAUAUUUCCAAAACGUCUAUCCUUCCUUUAUUUACGGAUUCCUUAUUCUUACAAGUUUGAUCUCAGUAUAUCCAGUGAUCAAUACUGGUGAUUUCUUGGAAACGCGCAAUUCGACUCAACCAAAUCAUAUAAAUAACUCAAGGAAUUCAUCAGGUUUACGCAAUCAAAGUGCUCCCAUGAAGAGUUUUUCACUUGGCCAAGAAACAUUAAUAACAACGAUGGUGGUCUCCACAAUUGGUGUCCUAACAAAUGGUUUUCUUGUUGUUGUUAUUCUUGUAGAUCCGCUUAACAUACUAAAACAAGGAAGGUGGAUUACAAUCUUAAGCUUAUCUAUAGCUGAUUUCACUGCAUCUUUGUCUCAAUUCAUGAUUGUUGGAUUGGGUAGAUUGUUCGAGGUCAAACCAUCAGAAGCUGUCAUUUAUUCUGUCCUUUUCUUUUGGAUGUUUGGGGCUGCGGGCUCAUUUUUUCACUUGACAUCACUCACAUGGCAAACUUACAUGAUUGCAAAGUAUCCCAUACGUAGCCGACAGAUGUUGUCUACCAGAAAAAUAUACAUAUUAUGUGCGACUGUUUGGUCGAUUGCCAUUUGCGUGGCAUUUGGUGAACUCACAUCAAUUUACAGCAAGAAAAUUGAGCAGCUUAUGUACACCUAUAUCACGCUAUAUGCUGUUUUGGAGAUUGCUGUUUUGAUCUUGGUCAUUGGGAAGUGUUUAAUACUUAUAAUAGUAUGGCAAAAUCGACAAAACACGACAGUAAAUGCUAAACAGCACAAUAGAAAACAUCUGGAAAUGGUAAAGACAACUAUCUUGCUAAAUAUCCUAUUGCUGGUAACUGCAUUUCCUUAUUUUGUCGCCAAACAAGUGGAGUUUAUUCAAAGGCUAGGAAAAAUACAAGGUGAAUUGGCUUGGCGUUUUUCUUACUACUACAAACCAGUUGCCAUGGUGAAUUUUGCAGUCAAUCCAAUUGUGUAUGCACUGAGGCUUCCCGAUUAUCGAAACAGUCUGAAGGCGUUGUUUAAAAAGAACAGUUAUAUUUCUACUGAUACAGCACAGCAAUUGACAACCUCGUUCCGUUCUGCUGAUGAAACGAUUGCUUUGUAGAUAAUAUGCAUUGAUUAAUAUGCAUUGAUCAUAUAUAACUUGAUUACAAAUAUAUAUGAUUAUUUUUUUAAUAUAGGUAAUAACAUAAACUUUAGUGGAAUUUGUAGUUAUACUUUUGUGUAAUUUUUAGUGUAAUGUUUGUAUUUGUAGCCAAUUUUGCCUGCAACAAACUAUUUUGAUAACCACAUCAAAACAUAGUACAAUAUCGUAUCUAAUAA